rnacentral:tRNA from 1 species
UGAGGUGUAGCUCAGUGGUAAAGUGCUUGCCUUGUAUGUGUGAGGCACUGGGUUCAAUUCUCAGCACCACAU